ensembl:snRNA U1 U1 spliceosomal RNA
ACUCAUACCUGGCAGUGGAGAUACCAUGAUCAUGAAAGUGGUUUUCCUAGGAUGAGGCUCAUCCAUUGCACUUUGGGUGUGCUGAUCCCUGUGAUUUCCCCAAAUGUGGGAAAAUCAACUGCAUAAUUUGUGGUAGUGGGGGACUGCAUUUGUGGUUUCCCCUG